rnacentral:lncRNA from 1 species
CACAUGAUGUAGGUACUUCCACCGUUUCCACAAUAUGGAUGAAGACAGGAUAAUACUAGAAGGCAAUGCAGAUGGAGUACCAAUACAGGUCACAUCGUAUGGCUGAAAAAAUAACAAAUCAGGCAUUUGAACCAAGACCAUUGAUGAUAGAAGCCAAGAUGUAACCACUUUGUUAUUCUGCAUUAUCUUAUGAGGUAACUCAACCUAAGACAUUGAAUAAUUAGAUAUGGAGGGAGAAGAAAAAGGAAACAUACUGAUGAACUUGUUUUUCUGUCCUGGCAAACUGGAUUAUGGGAGCACCUUUGAACAGGAUGGAGGGGAGCCAUGUUUGGAGGUACCGUUGACUCAUUAAAGAAGAAUAAAACUGUGAGAAUGCUAUUGGGCAGUUCACAGAGUCCCUAGGAGGACUGGAAAAUCAGGUUUAUGGCCAUCCAGCCAGACAUAACGCCCAGACACAACAAAGGGUUGGUCUGAUGAGGACAUAUUGCCAAUAUUGGCAAGCAGCUUUUACCACUCAUAUAUUUAGAUGUUCAUGGAUGCUGCACGUAGCACCAUCAACAUUACCUUCCAAGACAAAUAAUAUUGAUUCAUCAUCCACUCCUUUUAGGGAAAGUUGGUCAGAGUUAUACCAACUCUGUCUUUAAAGUUUGAGGUAAGUUCAUCCACUUGACAGACCCUAAGCUAUGUAGUCAUACCUUAGUUGCAAGGGAAGCUGAAAGAACAGAGUCACAAUAAAGAAGCUGAAAGAACAGGGUCACAAUAAAGAAGGUGGGAAAUUCUUCAAACAGGAAAGUGAUUAUAGCAACACAAUAAGAUAGCAAAUAGCAGUUACAAAAGAGGAGGUACAGUUUGGGCUGAGAAUAAAUAAAAAAUACCACCACGGUCGUGGAGUAGUAAGGUGAAGUAGAAAAUAGGUGUUCUAUUUGGAUCGUGUCGAUGAAGGGUUAGGAAUGGAUGGUCUCCAGAGAAGGCUGAUUCCUCCCAUUCUUGUACAUGCCUGCUACUUCCAUCAAUGAAGUCCACUUCCUGUCUUAGACUAACCUGUUGAGUAGUUUUGAUCAAUGUAAAGUGGUAAAAGUAAUCCUGUGCCAGUUUCAGGAUUAGUCCAUAAGAGUCCUGGAAACAUAUUUGUUUUUUUGGAAACCAGCCACCAUGGUGUGAAGCUGAGGCUAGACAACUGAAAAGUGAGACCACUUGGAAAGAGAAAAGCAACAUGGAAGAGAACCAGGGUUCCCCAGCCAACAGUCCAUGCCACAACCCAGACACCUAGGGAGGUUCUCUUUAAUGCUCCAGCCCAAAACAAGCUUCCAGCCACGAGAGCGGUCUCAAACAACCAGUAUACUGAUAGAUUCACCCACAGAAUCAUGAGA